UGUCACCAUAUUCCUAUGGAUAAUCCAACAGUUAUAUUCAAUAUCAUAUUGACAUUUAUGCUUAUCAUUUUCAAAAUCGUCACUAGGCAUUGCAUUUCAUAUCUUUGAUAUUUUUGCCAGUAACAAGUUUAAGACUUAGUAAUAUUGAUAAGUAGGUGUGUAUGUUCAGCAGUUUUCCUAUCUCUAAGUUCACACACACCAAAAACACCUCAGCACAACCACUUUGAAGUCACAUAGUUGACUGAAUAACAGUUCAUUGUUUUGUCAGUGCUAGAACAAACUUCUGUGCACUGACUUCUUUUAUGUGUGUAAAUCAGAGAACCACAGGAAAAGUUCACAUUGAAGAAAAAGCACAAACAGUAAAACCUGUCAAUCUUUCAUCCUCUAGAAACUCUCAACAUGCAUAGAAUUAAAUUUGUGAGAAACAUGUUAAGUAUUUUUCAUUCUUUUUGGCACUGGAGGAAAAAUCUGACUGACGAAAACCUGAAUGAGAUGUCUAUUCCAUGUCUGACAACUACACAGUUUUCCCAUCUAUAAUGUGAUCAUUUGAAGAGAUUUCACUGUCUAGUAGUGAGUACAGUAUACAGAAAAGAUCAAUGACAAGUAAAUGCAAAGAAAUUAAACUUAUCAAUUUAAAAAAAAAAA